rnacentral:rRNA from 1 species
UACGAGGGAUGCAAGCGUUAUCCGGAAUUAUUGGGCGUAAAGCGUUUGUAGGCGGGCGAGUGUGUUUAAUGUUAAAUCCUAAAGCUCAACUUUGAAAUUGCGUUAAAAACUGCUUGUCUUGAGUAUGGUAGGGGUAAAGGGAAUUCCCAGUGUAGCGGUGAAAUGCGUAGAUAUUGGGAAGAACACUAAACAGCGAAGGCACUUUACUAGGCUAAUACUGACGCUGAGAAACGAAAGGUAAGGUAGCGAAACGGAUUAGAUACCCGUGUAGUCUUACCCGUAAACUAUGGACACUAAACGGUAAAUUUUUAAUUUACUGUUAAAGCUAACGCGUUAAGUGUCCCGCCUGGGGAGUAUGCUUGCAAAAGUGAAACUCAAAGGAAUUGACGGGGGCCCGCACAAGCGGUGGAGCAUGUGGUUUAAUUCGACGGUACACGAAGAACCUUACCAGGAUUUGACAUGCUAGAUAGUUGCUUGAAAGAGUAACGUGCCGUAAGGAAUCUAGACACAGGUGGUGCAUGGCUGUCGUCAGUUCGUGUUGUGAAAUGUUGGGUUAAGUCCCGCAACGAACGCAACCCUUGUCUUUAGUUAUUUUCUAAAGAGACUGCCUGUAAUAAACAGGAGGAAGGUAAGGAUGAGGUCAAGUCAUCAUGCCCCUUAUGUCCUGGGCUACACACGUGCUACAAUGGGAAAGACAAUGAGCUGCAAAUCUGUAAAUUUAAGCAAAUCUCUUAAACUUUCUCGUAGUUCGGAUUGUGGGCUGCAACUCGCCCACAUGAAGUUGGAAUCGCUAGUAAUCGCCAGUCAGCUAUAUGGCGGUGAAUCCGUUCCCGGGCCU